rnacentral:rRNA from 1 species
UGAUCCCUGGCUCAGAUUGAACGCUGGCGGCAGGCCUAACACAUGCAAGUCGAGCGGCAGCACGGGUACUUGUACCUGGUGGCGAGCGGCGGACGGGUGAGUAAUGCCUAGGAAUCUGCCUGGUAGUGGGGGAUAACGCUCGGAAACGGACGCUAAUACCGCAUACGUCCUACGGGAGAAAGCAGGGGACCUUCGGGCCUUGCGCUAUCAGAUGAGCCUAGGUCGGAUUAGCUAGUUGGUGAGGUAAUGGCUCACCAAGGCGACGAUCCGUAACUGGUCUGAGAGGAUGAUCAGUCACACUGGAACUGAGACACGGUCCAGACUCCUACGGGAGGCAGCAGUGGGGAAUAUUGGACAAUGGGCGAAAGCCUGAUCCAGCCAUGCCGCGUGUGUGAAGAAGGUCUUCGGAUUGUAAAGCACUUUAAGUUGGGAGGAAGGGCAUUUACCUAAUACGUAAGUGUUUUGACGUUACCGACAGAAUAAGCACCGGC